rnacentral:rRNA from 1 species
UACGUAGGGGGCAAGCGUUGUCCGGAUUUAUUGGGCGUAAAGCGCGUGUAGGCGGCCAUGUAGGUCUGACGUGAAAUUCCGAGGCUCAACCUCGGCAGGUCGUUGGAAACCAUAUGGCUAGAGUCCGGAAGAGGAUAGGGGAAUUCCUGGUGUAGCGGUGAAAUGCGUAGAUAUCAGGAGGAACACCGGUGGCGAAGGCGCCUAUCUGGCCCGAUACUGACGCUGAGGCGCGAAAGCUAGGGGAGCAAACGGG